GAACUAAGAAGUCUACAUAGCAUUGAAGAACUUUUUUUUUAAAGGAAGAUUGAAGAGCUCCAAGGCAAUGGAGAGCACCAUGAGAAUGUCAUGGACUUAGUACGAUCCAAGAGCUUACUUGCUCUCAUUCUUCACUUCUGUACAAAGCUACUGAAAUACCCUUCCCAACAGAGAAGUUUUGUCCAUGCAAAGUCUUGAAGUAGACUAGUGCUUCUAACAGUAUCAGAAUACAUAGAAUUCA